AUUGAACGCUGGCGGCAUGCUUUACACAUGCAAGUCGAACGGUAACAGGCCGCAAGGUGCUGACGAGUGGCGAACGGGUGAGUAGUGCAUCGGAACAUGCCCAGUCGUGGGGGAUAACGCAGCGAAAGCUGUGCUAAUACCGCAUACGAUCUAUGGAUGAAAGCGGGGGACCGUAAGGCCUCGCGCGAUUGGAGCGGCCGAUGUCAGAUUAGGUAGUUGGUGGGGUAAAGGCCCACCAAGCCGACGAUCUGUAGCUGGUCUGAGAGGACGACCAGCAAGACUGGGACUGGGACACGGCCCAGACUCCUACGGGAGGCAGCAGUGGGGAAUUUUGGACAAUGGGCGCAAGCCUGAUCCAGCAAUGCCGCGUGCAGGAAGAAGGCCUUCGGGUUGUAAACUGCUUUUGUACGGAACGAAACGGUCUGGGUUAAUACCCUGGGCUAAUGACGGUACCGUAAGAAUAAGCACCGGCUAACUACGUGCCAGCCGCCGUGUAAAAC
rnacentral:rRNA from 1 species